rnacentral:lncRNA from 1 species
AUAACAUGUGCAGCAACCAGCCUGAAUAUGUCUGCUAUAAAAUUUGCACUCGUCCUAAUGGUCAUACCCACAGUCAUGGUGGACUGGAGAAGGGACGUGUUUAUACAGUCGUUGGCACAUCACACCAUCAUUAAUUACCUACUCAACUGAGGAGUCAGCGGAGGAGUUAACGGAGGCGUCAGCGGAGGAGUUAACGGAGGCGUCAGCGGAGGAGUUAACGCAGGAGGACUCCCCUCCCCAUCACUACUGCCUAUAUCGCUAUAUCAACAAAACAUGCGGUGCCGAUAGCGGUAACCUACACUGCGGCAGGGGCUGCAAUUGUACCAAACAAAGUACAAGAUGGGUGUGUCAGUGGGAUUCUACAGAAGGAAAUAAGCGAAUAAAUAUUACAUGGUUAUAU